rfam:TPA: Bos taurus chromosome 5, whole genome shotgun sequence.
UGGCUCAGAUGGUAAAGUGUCUGCCUGCAAUGCAGGAGACCUGGGUUCGAUCCCUG